rnacentral:misc_RNA from 1 species
GGAAGGAUCAUUAUUGAAUUCUAGGGGGGGAAGGGGAAGGCAAGGGGACUGUCGCUGGCAGCCAAGGGAGGCAUGUGCACGUCCUUUGCUUUUUCCUCUCUCACACACAACCCACACCUGUGCACUUCUUGUAGGCCCUUGAAAGAGGAUCUAUGCAUUUCAUUUUUUCCACACUCGUCGUAUGUGUAUAGAAUGUAUUCACGUCGGACCUAUCUAUGAUGGGGCUGGCGGUCAACAAAAUCAUACAACUUUCAGCAACGGAUCUCUUGGCUCUCGCAUCGAUGAAGAACGCAGCGAAUUGCGAUAAGUAAUGUGAAUUGCAGAUUUUCAGUGAAUCAUCGAAUCUUUGAACGCACCUUGCGCUCCUUGGUAUUCCGAGGAGCAUGCCUGUUUGAGUGUCAUGAAGUUCUCAACCCAUGUCUUUGAUCAGACGUAGGCUUGGACUUGGGAGCUUGCUGGCGCAAGUCAGCUCUCCUGAAAUGCAUUAGCAAAGGGCUUUGUAGACGUGCACGGCCUUGGACGUGAUAACGAUCGUUCUGGCUGGAGUGUCUCAUGUCUCAUGUCUCAUCUGACAGUCCUGUGCUUCUAAAAUCCUAGUUGGUCAAAAGAGUCUGGCGAGUCUGGCGAAAAGUCUGUCUGAAGCCAUAUUUCAGUUUCAGUUUCGGACGAUCUUACUAGCUGGUCUUUUGUGUCCCACACCUUUUUGGAAACUUGACCUCAAAUCAGGUAGGACUACCCGCUGAACUUAAGCAUAUCAAUAAGCGGAGGAAAAGAAACUAACAAGGAUUCCCCUAGUAACUGCGAGUGAAGCGGGAAGAGCUCAAAUUUUGAAUCUGGCGGUCGUUUUGGCUGUCCGAGUUGUAAUCUAGAGAAGCGUCUUCCGCGCUGGGACCGUGUACAAGUCUCCUGGAAGGGAGCGUCAUAGAGGGUGAGAAUCCCGUCUUUGACACGGACUCCCCCCAGUGCUAUGUGAUGCGCUCUCGACGAGUCGAGUUGUUUGGGAAUGCAGCUCAAAAUGGGUGGUAAAUUCCAUCUAAAGCUAAAUACAGGCGAGAGACCGAUAGCGAACAAGUACCGUGAGGGAAAGAUGAAAAGGACUUUGGAAAGAGAGUUAAACAGUACGUGAAAUUGCUGAAAGGGAAACGCUUGAUGUCAGUCGCGUCGGCCGGGGAUCAACCUUGCGUUCUCGUUGGGUGUAUUUCCUGGUCGACGGGUCAGCAUCAGUUUCGAUCGUCGUACAAGGGUGAGGGGAAUGUGGCACUCUCCGGAGUGUGUUUAUAGCCUUUCAUCGUAUGCGAUGGUCAGGACUGAGGAACUCAGCACGAGCGCGUGUUCACGUUCUGUGCUUAGGAUGCUGGCAUAAUGGCCUUAAGUGACCCGUCUUGAAACACGGACCAAGGAGUCUAACAUGCCUGCGAGUGUUUGGGUGGAAAACCCGAGCGCGAAAUGAAAGUGAAACGUUGAGACCUCUGUCAUGGAGGGCAUCGACGCCCGGACCCAAGUCCUUUGACAAAGGAUCUGCGGUAGAGCAUGCAUGUUGGGACCCGAAAGAUGGUGAACUAUGCCUGAAUAGGGCGAAGCCAGAGGAAACUCUGGUGGAGGCUCGUAGCGAUUCUGACGUGCAAAUCGAUCGUCGAAUUUGGGUAUAGGGGCGAAAGACUAAUCGAACCAUCUAGUAGCUGGUUCCUGC